CUGGACGGAUGCUGGUGAGAGAGCUGGCAGUGUUAAACACACAGAUUUGCAAGAUUGAGCAGCACAUUUUCAUCUCUCGUGCUGGCAUGAUGGUAUUGGAUGAACUGUCCUCUCAGCUUGAAGAGGUAGCCAUUCAUCUGCAGUACGUGGAUGAGGAGGUUCGGCAGCAGCCCUGUCUGGCUUUAAUCCCUUGGUCUGGACCCUUGUGUGUUCCUAUCUUU